GAUGAACGCUGGCGGCGUGCCUAAUACAUGCAAGUCGAGCGAACGGACGAGAAGCUUGCUUCUCUGAUGUUAGCGGCGGACGGGUGAGUAACACGUGGAUAACCUACCUAUAAGACUGGGAUAACUUCGGGAAACCGUAGCUAAUACCGGAUAAUAUUUUGAACCGCAUGGUUCAAAAGUGAAAGACGGUCUUGCUGUCACUUAUAGAUGGAUCCGCGCUGCAUUAGCUAGUUGGUAAGGUAACGGCUUACCAAGGCAACGAUGCAUAGCCGACCUGAGAGGGUGAUCGGCCACACUGGAACUGAAACACGGUCCAGACUCCUAAGGGAGGCAGCAGUAGGGAAUCUUCCGCAAUGGGCGAAAGCCUGACGGAGCAACGCCGCGUGAGUGAUGAAGGUCUUCGGAUCGUAAAACUCUGUUAUUAGGGAAGAACAUAUGUGUAAGUAACUGUGCACAUCUUGACGGUACCUAAUCAGAAAGCCACGGCUAACUACGUG
rnacentral:rRNA from 1 species